UGGGGAAUAUUGGACAAUGGGCGAAAGCCUGAUCCAGCCAUGCCGCGUGUGUGAAGAAGGCCUUUUGGUUGUAAAGCACUUUAAGCGAGGAGGAGGCUACUUAGAUUAAUACUCUAGGAUAGUGGACGUUACUCGCAGAAUAAGCACCGGCUAACUCUGUGCCAGCAGCCGCGGUAAUACAGAGGGUGCGAGCGUUAAUCGGAUUUACUGGGCGUAAAGCGUGCGUAGGCGGCUUCUUAAGUCGGAUGUGAAAUCCCUGAGCUUAACUUAGGAAUUGCAUUCGAUACUGGGAAGCUAGAGUAUGGGAGAGGAUGGUAGAAUUCCAGGUGUAGCGGUGAAAUGCGUAGAGAUCUGGAGGAAUACCGAUGGCGAAGGCAGCCAUCUGGCCUAAUACUGACGCUGAGGUACGAAAGCAUGGGGAGCAAACAG
rnacentral:rRNA from 1 species